rnacentral:rRNA from 1 species
CCUACGGGAGGCAGCAGUGGGGAAUAUUGCACAAUGGGGGAAACCCUGAUGCAGCGACGCCGCGUGAGUGAAGAAGUAAUUCGUUACGUAAAGCUCUAUCAGCAGGGAAGAAAAUGACGGUACAGGAGUAAGAAGCGACGGCUAACUACGUGCCAGCAGCCGCGGUAAUACGUAGGGGGCAAGCGUUAUCCGGAGUUACGGGGGGGAAAGGGAGCGUAGACGGGGGGCCAAGCAUGGAGGGAAAUGCCGCAGCUUAACUGCGGAACUGCUUUGGAGACUGGCGAACUAGAGUGCGGGAGGGGUAAGCGGAAUUCCUUGUGUAGCGGUUAAAUGCGUAGAUAUUAGGAGGAACACCGGUGGCGAAGGCGGCUUACUGGACCGUAACUGACGUUGAGGCUCGAAAGCGUGGGGAGCAAACAGGAUUAGAUACCCGUGUAGUC